AGAAAAAAAGUUUUCCAAAAAACAGGAGAUUCACAGAAACCCAUCCAAAUGGGCCCCUUCAACAUGAACCAGUGCAGUAAGAAAGUCCUCUCUACUUUAACUGUAUAAGGAAAGUUACUUUAAAACGACCAGUCAACUUUUUGUUCCUUAUUUCUGCUUUCUUCAGCCUUUUCCUGCCUAUAAAGAGUUCUCUCUCUGCUCAGCUCUGGGAAGUGCCUUUCUGUUUCCCAGAUGGGAGGCUGCUCAACUUAUGAAUCACUAAUAAAAUCAUUAGAUCUUGAAUUUUUUUGAAAUUUUGUUCUUUGAUAGAGGAAAUUACGUAAAUACAUGAAGGUAAGAAUAAUCGGGAGGUAAGAAUUAUUGUGGGAUAUUUCGGAGACCAACUACCAUAUCAGCCUAGAAUCAAACCAUACAAAGAUGGAAUAUGGUCUCUUCAGACAUGGAAAGACUCAAACCAUUAGGAUGUUCUUCAGCAAAAUAAUGGAGUAAUCCAUGAAAAAGAAAGACAUGGAAUCUAAAAGACAAUGGAACCAACCAAUUAAAUAACAAAGGCAAGUCCCAGAAUGAGAUUUCUAUAAUAAACCUAAACUACAACCAGCUUGGAUUUGAGAAAGACAAUGAAGGACUGGAAGUUUGGUAGCUGGAGAAAAAGAAAAAAGGCUUUAUAGCAUACAAUCUAUAUUUAUGAAGUUAAAAAAUUAAUAUAAUGAAAACAGGUAAUAAUUUAUAGGGGAAAAAUCAACUAGACACUCCAAAAGGGGGAAAAUUGGAUGAGAAAAAUGCUUCCCAGAUAUGAAGUACAAUGAAAAAGAGCACACUUUUAAGCACUUGAUAAGAGACAGCAUCUGUCGGACUGGAUGCCUAGUGAAUAAAAUUUAUAUUCCAAUAUGCUACCUGGACUAGUAGAGUGCUAUAUUUAUUUAGUCAUUAAAAAUAUCUGUGGCAUAAGGGUGAGGGAAAAGGAGACAAAUGUUAUUAUUAUUGUAAAAAAAAAAAGCGGUUCAAAAGAUUAUUGAAUAUAUGGAUGUUUGUAUAUAUUUUGAACUUAAAUUAUGUGAGAAUAUUUAAAAUAAUGUAAAUAUGAAAAAGAAAAACUGUAUUUGCAAGCUCAGUGCUCAUCAUUCAUAUUGAAAUCAAUUGCUAUUUUCUAAAGUUAAUAAAUCAAUAAAUACAGGUAGAAAUAUAUUUUCUGCAAUUAUGACAAUACACAUUUGCCUAUGUAAAACUGAUGAA
rnacentral:lncRNA from 10 species